GUCGGUACCAAAUAGUGGGGGUGCUGAUGGAAGCACACCCGCUGGCAUUUUUGGCAGCCGAUAUCUAUCGGGGUGGUAUCGUGCUGCUUCUUUCUCUAGCUCUGCUUCCUUGCUAGAGUCUAAAAUCUCAGAGUCUGAGCUGCUCAGCUCCAAGGCUUCCAGUUUCGUUGCAGGGCAGAGGCUAGAUUUUAGACUCUAGCAAGGAAGCAGAGCUAGAGAAAGAAGCAGCACGAUACCACCCCGAUAGAUAUCGGCUGCCAAAAAUGCCAGCGGGUGUGCUUCCAUCAGCACCCCCACUAUUUGGUACCGACUCCUUUUUACCAUCAAAGGAGCGGAAAAAAUUACAGAUGGCUUUCCCAGUCUUUGAUAGGGGAAAAGGCCGUGCAUGUUAUUCAACACUGCUUGGAGGCCUGGGAUGCCUGGAAAAAGCCUCAUAUCCUAAAGUUGCUCAAGUAAUUUAUGUAUGCUUGUUUUAAAAUGUUCUAUUUCCUGGUACGGCCAUUUUGUAGCUGGUCACAUGACUGACGGUAGCCAUUUUGCUAAAGUUAAAAAAAGGAUACUUAAACCGCCAUCUUGACUAAAGGUGACCACAUGGAAAUCAGAGGUACCAUCUUAGAAACAAGUUUUUCAGUUAAGAUUUAAAAUGUUAAUGCUUCUAUAUAUUACAGAAAGACCUUAAGGGAAUUUAAAUUUCUUUUUAAAACCAGUUUUUCAAAUGUUUGAUUUUAUUAAUGUUUAUACUUAAAGAGCUUCAAUUUAGAAUUUUUAAGCAAAGCCUGACAAUGUAAAGUUCUUGUUUUGUAAAAGAUGCUAAUCUAUUAUGUUGGUAGCACACACCUUUAAGCUCAGGGUGUUGGUGACACACGCCUUUAAGUUGAGGGCGUUGGCGGCAUACGCCUUUAAUCCCAGCACUCGGGAGUAAGAGACAGAUGGAUCUUUAUGAGUUCAAGGCCUGCCUGGUCCGGCAGAUCGAAUUCCAGGACAGGCUCCAAAGUCAGAGAAAAACCCUGCCUCAGAAAGAAGUUAAGCUACUGUUUAAGGAAGUUCAGCUGUAUUACAGAAAUAAGACUUUACCUAGCCACCUAUGUGCUUCUUAAAAACAGAUAAUGGGCCGGCUUAUACCUCUCAAAAGUUCCAGCACUUCUACAGAUGGAAAUUACCCAUCUAACUGGCCUACCUUAUACAAGGCAUUAUGGAACGUGCCCAUCGCACACUUAAGUCUUAUUUAAUCAAACAAAAGGAGGGAAUGGGAGCAUCCUUACCCUCGGUGCCAAGAGUUACAAUAUCCAUGGCACUCUUUACCCUUAAUUUUCUAAACACCGACGCUCAGGGCCAUACAGCGGCCAAGCGUCAUACCUCAGA
rnacentral:lncRNA from 1 species